rnacentral:misc_RNA from 1 species
CGGACACGACUCCGUGAGUGCGCGUGGCUGCAGAAAGACGAACUCUUAGUAGUAGUUAGUAGUAGGGAGAGCCUCGUGCCGAUCAGUUGGCCUCAACCUGCUCGUGCUCGACGGUUUCCCGUUGCCGCCGCCGGAGCGCAAAGAGGAUACGCGCCGAGCGAUGACCAUGCCUCCUACCGAGCGCAGUUUCGGAUUCGUCGUGCACCACCAGCUGCACCAGAGCAAGGCAGAGAGUCGGAGGGCGUCCAAGCCUCUGAUGGAGAAGCGCCGCCGGGCGCGCAUCAACCACAGCCUGGCGCAACUCAAGAGUCUGCUGCUGGACGGAAGCAGCAAGAAGGAAUCUCAGAACCCCCGCAACGCCAAAUUGGAAAAGGCUGACAUUUUGGAAAUGACCGUACGACAUCUCCAGGGCAUUCACCAGGGUCACCAUCUGCCUCCGACGCCCGCCAUGGAAAUGCGAUUCCAGGAAGGCUUUGCUGAGUGCGCCCGCGAGGUGUCCCGCUUCGUGUGCAACUCGGACGUGGACGACUCCCUUCGGUCUCGGCUCCUAGGACACUUGGCUUCCUGCCUGGCCUCCAUGCAUCCGGCGGUUCAGGCAGCGGACGCCAUGGACACCGAAGAGACCGCCGGGGCCGUUUCCCACGUUUCGUCGACCUCUGUGGCGAACGCCGCUGCUACCUCCCACGUCAACACGUCUAACGUCGCCAUGGCUGCUAGUCGCGUCAUCGUCAAGCAAGAGAUCUCGGACGGCGAUGUCAGUGCUGCUUCUUCUUACGCUGUGGCGACUCAUCAUUCUUGCUUCACGAACGGUGACCUGCCCGGCUUGUCCGUAUCGAGUCCGCUCAACCUGGCCACCGGGAGCCGCUCCUCAGCCUAUUCUACCUCUUCUUCCUCCGGCGUCAGUGCGCCGGCCAGCCCCUUCAGCGACUCGGAGUCGACCACGUCGGCCGCCAGUGACGACAACUACGUGGCCGAGCUGGAACAGCACACGUUCGGCGUCAUACGCCGGGCCCCGGCAGCGAUGUUCGGUGACCCGGUCUGGAGGCCCUGGUAGUGACUGUUGAAGGACUCGCCCAGCACUAAACGCAGUGUGCCAAAUACUUUACUAUACAUCGUGUCUGUUACGUUUGACCUCAAUCGGUGCAUCUGGUCGGUUCUACUGUGUUUACGUAGAGAAUGCAUUGUCGUGACAGCGUUGACGCGAUGUGUCCGAUUCCUUACGAGGCCCAUUUCAAUGCUGGAAAUGGUUGGA